ensembl:snoRNA
UGCACUUGUGUUUUUGUUUAGCUUGUGGACAAAGACUUACAGAUCGGUGCAAAAAAUAAAUCCUCUUUUGCAGCCCAGAAUUCAUUGUUCAGUAUGAGUUUUGAUACAUACUAGAACGGAUAUU